rnacentral:rRNA from 1 species
ACGCGUGGGUAACCUGCCUUGUACUGGGGGAUAGCAGCUGGAAACGGCUGGUAAUACCGCAUAAGCGCACAAUGUUGCAUGACAUGGUGUGAAAAACUCCGGUGGUAUAAGAUGGACCCGCGUCUGAUUAGCUAGUUGGUGAGAUAACAGCCCACCAAGGCGACGAUCAGUAGCCGACCUGAGAGGGUGACCGGCCACAUUGGGACUGAGACACGGCCCAGACUCCUACGGGAGGCAGCAUG